rnacentral:rRNA from 1 species
UCAAGGGGUUGACGGUAUUUUACCCAGAAAGCCACGGCUAACUACGUGCCAGCAGCCGCGGUAAUACGUAGGUGGCAAGCGUUGUCCGGAUUUAUGGGCGUAAAGCGAGCGCAGGCGGUUUUUUAAGUCUGAUGUGAAAGCCUUCGGCUUAACCGGAGAAGUGCAUCGGAAACUGGGAGACUUGAGUGCAGAAGAGGACAGUGGAACUCCAUGUGUAGCGGUGGAAUGCGUAGAUAUAUGGAAGAACACCAGUGGCGAAGGCGGCUGUCUAGUCUGUAACUGACGCUGAGGCUCGAAAGCAUGGGUAGCGAACAGGAUUAGAUACCCUGGUAGUCCAUGCCGUAAACGAUGAGUGCUAAGUGUUGGAGGGUUUCCGCCCUUCAGUGCUGCAGCUAACGCAUUAAGCACUCCGCCUGGGGAGUACGACCGCAAGGUUGAAACUCAAAGGAAUUGACGGGGGCCCGCACAAGCGGUGGAGCAUGUGGUUUAAUUCGAAGCUACGCGAAGAACCUUACCAGGUCUUGACAUCUUCUGCCAAUCUUAGAGAUAAGACGUUCCCUUCGGGGACAGAAUGACAGGUGGUGCAUGGUUGUCGUCAGCUCGUGUCGUGAGAUGUUGGGUUAAGUCCCGCAACGAGCGCAACCCUUAUUAUCAGUUGCCAGCAUUCAGUUGGGCACUCUGGUGAGACUGCCGGUGACAAACCGGAGGAAGGUGGGGAUGACGUCAAAUCAUCAUGCCCCUUAUGACCUGGGCUACACACGUGCUACAAUGGACGGUACAACGAGUCGCGAAGUCGUGAGGCUAAGCUAAUCUCUUAAAGCCGUUCUCAGUUCGGAUUGUAGGCUGCAACUCGCCUACAUGAAGUUGGAAUCGCUAGUAAUCGCGGAUCAGCAUGCCGCGGUGAAUACGUUCCCGGGCCUUGUACACACCGCCCGUCACACCAUGAGAGUUUGUAACACCCAAAGCCCGGUGA